CAGCAGCCACGGUAAUACGAAGGGUGCAAGCGUUACUCGGAAUUACUGGGCGUAAAGCGUGCGUAGGUGGUGGUUUAAGUCCGUUGUGAAAGCCCUGGGCUCAACCUGGGAAUUGCAGUGGAUACUGGGUCACUAGAGUGUGGUAGAGGAUAGUGGAAUUUCCGGUGUAGCAGUGAAAUGCGUAGAGAUCGGAAGGAACAUCUGUGGCGAAGGCGACUAUCUGGGCCAACACUGACACUGAGGCACGAAAGCGUGGGGAGCAAACAGGAUUAGAUACCCCAGUAGUCCCUGUCUCUUAUAC
rnacentral:rRNA from 1 species